rnacentral:rRNA from 1 species
AAUCAACGCUGGCGGCGUGCCUAACACAUGCAAGUCGAACGAGAAAGUGGAGCAAUCCACAAGUAAAGUGGCGCACGGGUGAGUAACACGUGACUAACCUACCCUUGAGUGGGGGAUAACCUAGGGAAACCUGGGCUAAUACCGCAUAAUACCUAUGGGUCAAAGGAGCAAUUCGCUUUUGGAGGGGGUCGCGGCAGAUUAGUUAGUUGGCAGGGUAAUGGCCUACCAAGACGAUGACUGUAUCCGGCCUGAGAGGGCGCACAGACACACUGGAACUGAAACACGGUCCAGACUCCUACGGGAGGCAGCAGUGGGGAAUUUUGCGCAAUGGGGGAAACCCUGACGCAGCAACGCCGCGUGGAGGAUGAAGACCCUUGGGUCGUAAACUCCUUUCGAUCGGGACGAUAAUGACGGUACCGGAAGAAGAAGCCCCGGCUAACUUCGU